AUGGCCAACAUCUCCUUAGAAGACGUCAAGAACGAGAACGUCGACCUCGAGCGAAUCCCCGUUGAGGAAGUGUUCGAGCAGCUGAAAUGCACGAAAAGUGGAUUGACGGCCGAGGAAGGCCAGAAGCGGCUGGAGAUCUUCGGCCCGAACAAGCUUGAGGAGAAGAAGGAGUGCAAGGUCCUUAAGUUCCUGGGAUUUAUGUGGAAUCCUCUAUCAUGGGUCAUGGAGUGCGCUGCUAUCAUGGCCCUGGUUUUGGCCAAUGGAGGGGGCAAGCCAACUGACUGGCCAGACUUCGUCGGUAUUAUGGUGUUGUUGCUCAUCAACUCAACCAUCAGUUUCAUCGAGGAAAACAACGCCGGCAAUGCUGCGGCAGCUCUGAUGGCUAGUCUUGCCCCCAAGACUAAGGUCUUGAGGGAUGGAAAGUGGGGGGAGCAAGAGGCAGAAAUCCUGGUGCCAGGAGAUGUGAUCAGCAUCAAGUUGGGAGAUAUCGUCCCAGCUGAUGCGCGUCUCUUGGAAGGUGAUCCUCUCAAGAUUGACCAGGCUGCUCUCACCGGUGAGUCCCUUCCCGUUACCAGGAACCCAGGAGAUGAGGUAUUCUCUGGCUCUACCUGCAAGCAGGGUGAGAUCGAAGCUGUUGUCAUUGCUACCGGUGUCCAUACAUUCUUCGGAAAGGCUGCUCACCUUGUGGAUAGCACCAACCAAGUGGGUCACUUCCAAAAGGUGUUGACAUCCAUCGGAAACUUCUGCAUAUGCUCCAUUGCUGUGGGAAUGGUAAUUGAGAUCCUGGUGAUGUAUCCAAUUCAGCAUAGGGCAUAUAGAGAUGGUAUUGACAACCUGCUGGUGCUUCUGAUCGGAGGUAUCCCCAUUGCCAUGCCCACGGUCUUGUCCGUGACCAUGGCUAUUGGGUCUCACCGCCUUUCACAGCAAGGCGCCAUCACCAAGAGGAUGACAGCCAUUGAAGAGAUGGCUGGGAUGGACGUUCUUUGCAGUGAUAAGACCGGUACCCUCACCCUCAACAAGCUUACCGUCGAUAAGAGUCUAAUUGAGGUGUUCCCGAAGAACGUGGAUAAGGACGGCGUGGUGUUGCUCUCUGCUAGGGCCUCCAGGGUCGAAAACCAGGACGCCAUUGAUGCCUCGAUUGUUAAUAUGUUGGCCGACCCCAAGGAGGCAAGAGCAGGAAUCACUGAGGUGCAUUUCCUGCCCUUCAAUCCCGUCGACAAGCGCACAGCAAUCACCUACAUCGAUGCCAAUGGCGACUGGCACAGAUGCAGCAAGGGUGCACCUGAGCAAAUCAUUGACCUUUGCGAUCUCAAGGGAGAAACAAGGAAGAAGGCCCAUGCUGUCAUUGACAACUACGCAGAACGCGGUCUCCGCUCAUUGGGAGUUGCUCGACAGACAGUUCCUGAGAAGACCAAGGAGAGCGCCGGCAGUCCAUGGGAGUUUGUCGGUUUACUGCCUCUCUUUGAUCCUCCCAGGCACGACAGUGCUGAGACUAUCCGCCGUGCUCUUGAGCUCGGUGUCAACGUUAAGAUGAUCACUGGUGACCAACUUGCCAUUGGGAAAGAGACCGGUCGCAGGCUCGGCAUGGGAACUAACAUGUAUCCGUCAUCCACCCUUCUAGGACAGAGCAAGGACGAGUCCAUUGCCUCCAUGCCUGUUGAUGAGCUCAUCGAAAAGGCUGAUGGUUUCGCCGGAGUCUUUCCUGAGCACAAGUAUGAGAUUGUAAAGAAGCUACAGGAGAGGAAGCACAUCUGCGGGAUGACUGGAGAUGGUGUGAAUGAUGCCCCGGCGCUCAAGAGGGCGGACAUUGGUAUUGCCGUGGCAGAUGCAACUGACGCAGCCAGGAGCGCGUCGGACAUUGUCCUGACAGAGCCAGGGCUGAGUGUGAUUGUGAGUGCCGUCUUGACAAGCAGAGCCAUCUUCCAGAGGAUGAAGAACUAUACAAUCUACGCUGUUUCCAUCACAAUCCGUAUUGUGGUGGGAUUCAUGCUCGUUGCUCUCAUCUGGAAGUUCGACUUCUCGCCUUUCAUGGUCUUGGUUAUCGCUGUCCUGAACGAUGGGACUAUCAUGACCAUCUCCAAGGACAGAGUGAAGCCGUCUCCUCUCCCUGACUCAUGGAAGCUCAAGGAAAUCUUCGCCACUGGCGUUGUCCUUGGAACCUACAUGGCUGUCAUGACCGUGGUCUUCUUCUGGCUUGCAAAUAGCACCGACUUCUUCGGAAAACAUUUUGGAGUGCACAAUAUUUCAGACAACCCGAAACAGCUUAACUCGGCUAUCUACCUACAAGUGAGCAUCAUCAGCCAAGCGCUCAUCUUCGUGACUCGAUCUAGGAGCUGGUCCUUCCUCGAACGCCCUGGUCUCAUGCUUUUGGUCGCCUUUCUUGCAGCUCAGUUGGUGGCCACGCUCAUCGCUGUGUACUGCAGUUGGGGCUUUGCCAGAAUCGAAGGCGUUGGAUGGGGAUGGGCCGGUGUCAUCUGGAUCUACAGCAUCGUCACCUACUUCCCCCUCGAUAUCUUCAAGUUCAUUAUCCGCUACGCAUUGACCGGCAAGGCCUGGGAUACCAUUGUCCAGAACAAGACUGCCUUCACAUCAAACAAUGACUACGGAAAGGGGGCAAGAGAAGCGCAAUGGGCGUCAGCUCAGCGUUCGCUCAACGGUCUCCAGCCUCCGGAAGCAUUGUUCCACGGCAACCACGGGGAGCAGGCGGAGCUAGCUGAGCAGGCCAAGAGGCGCGCGGAAGUCGCUAGGUAAAAUGAUGCUUCCUUGUACAAAAACAAAAAAAGGGCACUCAAAAAACAGCAGGAUGCUUCCUAUGUUGACUGAGGGAACUGCACACGUUAAAGGGGCACGUCGAAUCAGUGGUUAAGCUGAAGGGGCUAGACAUUGACACCAUCCAACAACACUACACUGUUUAGAACACUUUCUAAAAAGGGCAAGGUGGACGCAAGGAGUGCUCAGAAGAAGCUGCAACUAAAUAUAUAUAUUUACAAAUAUAUAGUAUUUAUAUAUAUUCUAUGUUAUGAAAGUAGAGAAGGUAAAUGCUGUGAAAGCCAGCUGAGUGGAUUUGCCCUUAUAUUAGAUAUUGGAAAAAACUAAACCUCUUUGGGAUGGAAUGAAGAUUAAUUAUUGGGGUUUUUUUAUUUUUUUUAUUUUUUAAGAAUGAGGGGUUGUAUUGCCUAGGAAUCAAUAAUGCAAGAAUUUAGUAGUUCACAGUGAAA